GACCUCGGAUCAGGUAGGGAUACCCGCUGAACUUAAGCAUAUCAAUAAGCGGAGGAAAUGAAACCAACAGGGAUUGCCUCAGUAACGGCGAGUGAAGCGGCAACAGCUCAAAUUUGAAAUCUGGCCUUCGGGUCCGAGUUGUAAUUUGCAGAGGAUGCUUCGAGCAUGGUCUAGUCUAAGUUCCUUGGAAUAGGACGUCAUAGAGGGUGAGAAUCCCGUAUGCGACUGGGUGCCUAAGCUCAUGUGAAGCUCCUUCGACGAGUCGAGUUGUUUGGGAAUGCAGCUCAAAAUGGGUGGUAAAUUUCAUCUAAAGCUAAAUAUUGGCCAGAGACCGAUAGCGCACAAGUAGAGUGAUCGAAAGAUGAAAAGCACUUUGGAAAGAGAGUUAAAUAGCACGUGAAAUUGUUGAAAGGGAAGCGC
rnacentral:rRNA from 1 species